AUAUUACAUUCUCCCCUUCUUAAGAAAAUUUGCCCUCAAAUUUUUAAAAUUACUCAAACAACCUAGAAUACAUAUCUCUCAUGAUACUCUCAACUUCCCAGGUUGCCCCUUAAGGGGAAUGAUGUUGUUAGAGUACUUUAACCACAAGAAUCUUGCACAAUCAAAGUACUCUCAACUAUCUGUCAAGGAUACAAAUUGGAUAUUCGUCAUAUGACAAAUUAGGUUGCAGUGCUUAUGGCUCAUAAGAAAUUACAUGAGAUGGAUCACAAUGGUAUUCCUGAAGCAUGGA
rnacentral:lncRNA from 1 species